rnacentral:rRNA from 1 species
CACGUAGGGCGCAAGCGUUGUCCGGAAUUAUUGGGCGUAAAGAGCUCGUAGGCGGUCUGUUGCGUCCGCUGUGAAAACCCAGGGCUUAACCCUGGGCUGGCAGUGGAUACGGACAGACUAGAGGUAGGUAGGGGAGAAUGGAAUUCCAGGUGUAGCGGUGAAAUGCGUAGAUAUCUGGAGGAAUACCGGUGGCGAAGGCGGCAUCCUGGACCGAGAUUGACGCUGAUGAGCGAAAGCUAGGGGGAGCAAACGGGG